rnacentral:rRNA from 1 species
GGGGGGGGGGGGGGGGGGGGGUGGUGGGGGGGGGUGGGGGGGGCGGGUGGGGGGCUUGCGCCUCGGGCGGUGGCGGCGGGGGGGUGGGUGACGCGUGGAGAACCUGCCUAUAAGACUGGGAUAACUUCGGGAAACCGGAGCGACUCCCGGCUCAUCUAUUGAACCGCAUGGUUCAAUAGUGAAAGACGGUUUUGCUGUCACUUAUAGAUGGAUCCGCGCCGCAUUAGCUAGUUGGUAAGGUAACGGCUUACCAAGGCAACGAUGCGUAGCCGACCUGAGAGGGUGAUCGGCCACACUGGAACUGAGACACGGUCCAGACUCCUACGGGAGGCAGCAGUAGGGAAUCUUCCGCAAUGGGCGAAAGCCUGACGGAGCAACGCCGCGUGAGUGAUGAAGGUCUUCGGAUCGUAAAACUCUGUUAUUAGGGAAGAACAAAUGUGUAAGUAACUAUGCACGUCUUGACGGUACCUAAUCAGAAAGCCACGGCUAACUACGUG